rnacentral:rRNA from 1 species
AUUGAACGCUGGCGGCAUGCCUUACACAUGCAAGUCGAACGCGAAAGGGGGGCAACUCCUGAGUAGAGUGGCGCACGGGUGAGUAAUGCAUCGGAACGUGUCCUGUAGCGGGGGAUAACCUAGCGAAAGCUAGGCUAAUACCGCAUACGUCCUACGGGAGAAAGUGGGGGAUCGUAAGACCUCACACUAUAGGAGCGGCCGAUGCCGGAUUAGCUAGUUGGUGGGGUAAAAGCCUACCAAGGCGACGAUCCGUAGCUGGGCUGAGAGGAUGAUCAGCUAAACUAGGAGUGAGACACAGCCCAGACGCCUACGGGAGGCAGCAGUGGGGAAUUUUGGACAAUGGGGGAAACCCUGAUCCAGCCAUGCCGCGUGGGUGAAGAAGGCCUUCGGGUUGUAAAGCUCUUUCGGCCGGGACGAAAUCGCACGCGUGAAUAUCGCGUGUGGAUGACGGUACCGGAAGAAGAAGGACCGGCUAACUACGUGCCAGCAGCCGCGGUAA